rnacentral:rRNA from 1 species
GAAACAUCUAAGUACCCUUAGGAAGAGAAAUCAAACGAGAUUCCCCUAGUAGCGGCGAGCGAACGGGGAACAGCCGAAUCAGCAUGGCGUAGUGGAAUGAGUUGGGAAGCUCAGCGAUACCGGGUGAUAGCCCCGUACACGAAGCGACAUGUUGGUCAUAUUAAGUAGGUCGGGACACGUGUUAUCCUGAUUGAAGAUGGGGGGACCAUCCUCCAAGGCU